rnacentral:rRNA from 1 species
CGGUGGAUGCCCUGGCAGUCAGAGGCGAUGAAGGGCGUGCUAAUCUGCGAUAAGCGCCGGUAAGGUGAUAUGAACCGUUAUAACCGGCGAUACCCGAAUGGGGAAACCCAGUGUGACUCGUCACACUAUCAUUAACUGAAUCCAUAGGUUAAUGAGGCGAACCGGGGGAACUGAAACAUCUAAGUACCCCGAGGAAAAGAAAUCAACCGAGAUUCCCCCAGUAGCGGCGAGCGAACGGGGAGGAGCCCAGAGCCUGAAUCAGCAUGUGUGUUAGUGGAAGCGUCUGGAAAGGCGCGCGAUACAGGGUGACAGCCCCGUACACAAAAGCGCAUGUGCUGUGAGCUCGAUGAGUAGGGCGGGACACGUGGUAUCCUGUCUGAAUAUGGGGGGACCAUCCUCCAAGGCUAAAUACUCCUGACUGACCGAUAGUGAACCAGUACCGUGAGGGAAAGGCGAAAAGAACCCCGGCGAGGGGAGUGAAAAAGAACCUGAAACCGUGUACGUACAAGCAGUGGGAGCACAGGUUUACCUGUGUGACUGCGUACCUUUUGUAUAAUGGGUCAGCGACUUAUAUUCUGUAGCAAGGUUAACCGAAUAGGGGAGCCGGAGGGAAACCGAGUCUUAAUUGGGCGUUAAGUUGCAGGGUAUAGACCCGAAACCCGGUGAUCUAGCCAUGGGCAGGUUGAAGGUUGGGUAACACUAACUGGAGGACCGAACCGACUAAUGUUGAAAAAUUAGCGGAUGACCUGUGGCUGGGGGUGAAAGGCCAAUCAAACCGGGAGAUAGCUGGUUCUCCCCGAAAGCUAUUUAGGUAGCGCCUCGUGAAUUCAUCUCCGGGGGUAGAGCACUGUUUCGGCUAGGGGGCCAUCCCGGCUUACCAACCCGAUGCAAACUGCGAAUACCGGAGAAUGUUAUCACGGGAGACACACGGCGGGUGCUAACGUCCGUCGUGAAGAGGGAAACAACCCAGACCGCCAGCUAAGGUCCCAAAGUCAUGGUUAAGUGGGAAACGAUGUGGGAAGGCCCAGACAGCCAGGAUGUUGGCUUAGAAGCAGCCAUCAUUUAAAGAAAGCGUAAUAGCUCACUGGUCGAGUCGGCCUGCGCGGAAGAUGUAACGGGGCUAAACCAUGCACCGAAGCUGCGGCAGCGACACUGUGUGUUGUUGGGUAGGGGAGCGUUCUGUAAGCCUGUGAAGGUGUGUCGUGAGGCAUGCUGGAGGUAUCAGAAGUGCGAAUGCUGACAUAAGUAACGAUAAAGCGGGUGAAAAGCCCGCUCGCCGGAAGACCAAGGGUUCCUGUCCAACGUUAAUCGGGGCAGGGUGAGUCGACCCCUAAGGCGAGGCCGAAAGGCGUAGUCGAUGGGAAACGGGUUAAUAUUCCCGUACUUGGUGUUACUGCGAAGGGGGGACGGAGAAGGCUAUGUUGGCCGGGCGACGGUUGUCCCGGUUUAAGCGUGUAGGUGUGUGUUCCAGGUAAAUCCGGUUCACUUUAACACUGAGGCGUGACGACGAGGCACUACGGUGCUGAAGCAACAAAUGCCCUGCUUCCAGGAAAAGCCUCUAAGCAUCAGGUAACAUCAAAUCGUACCCCAAACCGACACAGGUGGUCAGGUAGAGAAUACCAAGGCGCUUGAGAGAACUCGGGUGAAGGAACUAGGCAAAAUGGUGCCGUAACUUCGGGAGAAGGCACGCUGACACGUAGGUGAAGUGAUUUACUCAUGGAGCUGAAGUCAGUCGAAGAUACCAGCUGGCUGCAACUGUUUAUUAAAAACACAGCACUGUGCAAACACGAAAGUGGACGUAUACGGUGUGACGCCUGCCCGGUGCCGGAAGGUUAAUUGAUGGGGUCAGCGCAAGCGAAGCUCCUGAUCGAAGCCCCGGUAAACGGCGGCCGUAACUAUAACGGUCCUAAGGUAGCGAAAUUCCUUGUCGGGUAAGUUCCGACCUGCACGAAUGGCGUAAUGAUGGCCAGGCUGUCUCCACCCGAGACUCAGUGAAAUUGAACUCGCUGUGAAGAUGCAGUGUACCCGCGGCAAGACGGAAAGACCCCGUGAACCUUUACUAUAGCUUGACACUGAACAUUGAGCCUUGAUGUGUAGGAUAGGUGGGAGGCUUUGAAGUGUGGACGCCAGUCUGCAUGGAGCCGACCUUGAAAUACCACCCUUUAAUGUUUGAUGUUCUAACGUGGACCCGUUACCCGGGUUGCGGACAGUGUCUGGUGGGUAGUUUGACUGGGGCGGUCUCCUCCUAAAGAGUAACGGAGGAGCACGAAGGUUGGCUAAUCCUGGUCGGACAUCAGGAGGUUAGUGCAAUGGCAUAAGCCAGCUUGACUGCGAGCGUGACGGCGCGAGCAGGUGCGAAAGCAGGUCAUAGUGAUCCGGUGGUUCUGAAUGGAAGGGCCAUCGCUCAACGGAUAAAAGGUACUCCGGGGAUAACAGGCUGAUACCGCCCAAGAGUUCAUAUCGACGGCGGUGUUUGGCACCUCGAUGUCGGCUCAUCACAUCCUGGGGCUGAAGUAGGUCCCAAGGGUAUGGCUGUUCGCCAUUUAAAGUGGUACGCGAGCUGGGUUUAGAACGUCGUGAGACAGUUCGGUCCCUAUCUGCCGUGGGCGCUGGAGAACUGAGGGGGGCUGCUCCUAGUACGAGAGGACCGGAGUGGACGCAUCACUGGUGUUCGGGUUGUCAUGCCAAUGGCACUGCCCGGUAGCUAAAUGCGGAAGAGAUAAGUGCUGAAAGCAUCUAAGCACGAAACUUGCCCCGAG